UCCAUUUUCUGCCACCGAAUACAUUAGCAUGGGAUAAUGGAAUAGGACCCUGUCCUCCUAUUUUCAGUUGGUUUUGGCAGCGCGAGGACUAGGGUAAUGAUUAAUAGGGAUAGUUGGGGGCAUUAAUAUUUAAUUGUCAGAGGUGAAAUUCUUGGAUUUAUGAAAGAUUAACUUCUGCGAAAGCAUCUGCCAAGGAUGUUUUCAUUAAUCAAGAACGAAAGUUAGGGGAUCGAAGACGAUCAGAUACCGUCGUAGUCUUAACCAUAAACGAUGCCGACCAGCGAUUAGGAGACGUUGAAUACAAAACACCACCAUCGGCGCGGUCGUCCUUGGCGUCUGUCCCUUUCA
rnacentral:rRNA from 1 species